CAAGGAAUUUUGGGCGAUGGGCGAAAGCCUGACCCAGCGACACCGCGUGAGGGAAUAAGGCCUUCGGGUUGUAAACCUCUUUUCCUGGGGAAGAAUCUCGACGGUACCCAGGGAAUAAGCACCGGCUAACUCCGUGCCAGCAGCCGCGGUAAUACGGAGGGUGCGAGCGUUGUUCGGAAUCACUGGGCGUGAAGCGCGUGUAGGUGGCCUGCUAAGUCUGGUGUGAAAUCCCGGGGCUUACCCCCGGAACUGCGCUGGAAACUGGGAGGCUCGAGUACCGGAGAGGAGGGUGGAAUUCCUGGUGUAGCGGUGAAAUGCGUAGAUAUCAGGAGGAACACCGGUGGCGAAGGCGGCCCUCUGGACGGAUACUGACGCUGAGACGCGAAAGCGUGGGGAGCAAACAGGAUUAGAUACCCUGGUAGUCCACGCUGUAAACGAUGGGCACUAGGUGUUCGGGGUAUUGACCCCCUGAGUGCCGCAGCUAACGCAUUAAGUGCCCCGCCUGGGGACUACGGCCGCAAGGUUA
rnacentral:rRNA from 1 species